rnacentral:rRNA from 1 species
UACGUAGGUGGCGAGCGUUAUCCGGAUUUACUGGGCGUAAAGGGCACGCAGGCGGUCUGACAAGUUCGGUGUGAAAUCUCCUGGCUUAACUGGGAGCGGUCGCCGAAAACUGUUGGACUUGAGUCAGUGAGAGGGGUGCGGAAUUCCGAGUGUAGUGGUGGAAUGCGUAGAUAUUCGGAGGAACACCAGUGGCGAAAGCGGCACCCUGGCACUGUACUGACGCUGAGGUGCGAAAGCGUGGGUAGCGAACGGG